CGCGCGCCUGGCGCUGGCUGCUCCCACUCUGCGCUGGGCUAAAUUUUUAGCGCACCCGCGCAGGAGAGCAGCGGAGGACACAGAAGCCGGGCUGGGGGCACCUGCCGCGACCUCCCCAUUCUGGCCGGGCACUCAGUGCUCGGCCAGCACCUGCGGCCUGGGUGCUGUUUCUCCACGGUGAUCAGUUGCUGGUCGCCGCCGAAUUUGAUUGCCCGCUCUCCGGGACCCACGCGUGUGGGAGACCAGCGUGGGAUACUGUCCAGGGCCGGCCGGGAACAGCGCGCCCAGGCUGAGGGAGUGUCCUGGCUGAAGCUCGGAACCUCGCGAUAGGUGCAGGCGAGCCCGCAGUCAGGAGAGGGCCUGGGGCUCCACACCACAUCGGUUUGUCACUGCAGUGCCCUGCCCCAUCAAGGUGUCAUGGAGAGGAGCUCGCCUUCCCUCGGAAAGCAAGGCUCUGGUUAGACUUGCAUCUUGCGGGACUGGCCCAAGUGUGCACUGUGGUGGGGUGAAGAACCCUUCCACUCUGUUUCAUUCCAGGAUCUAAGCUGACCAUGACCAUGAGCCACGCUGGAGGGUCCAGGUGAGCCAUUUGCUCCUUCCCACCCAAACACACUACACACACUCUCUUCAGAAAAUCCGCUGAGAUUUCUAUUCAAACCACUCAAAAAUGGCCCCAAAGGUCACCGGUGACAGGAAGGAACCGUGCUCUUAAAGGAAAGACUAGUUUAUUCUAAGCCAGGUGGCUCAUGGCUUGUUACCACAUUUUCUACACAUCCUGCUUCCUUGGUGGCUGGUUGGUGUCUCCCCUGACUCUAUCCUUCUUCCUUCCAUCAUUCUCUUAGUUUGGUUGCCCCACCUAUAAUUCCUGGCUGGCUACCAGCCAAUUAGCUUUUUAUUAAACCAAUCCCAGUGACAGACCUUCACACAAUGUAAAGGAAUAUUCCACAGCAAGCUGCUACAGAAGCAAGCAGUUUAACAGAAGCUAAGAUAAGAAGUUAGCUGGAGGGGGCUCUGCACAAACUGGCAGUUUAACAGAAGCUGGGAUAAGUUAGCUGGGACAUCCUGACCUCAGGUUCCAAUAAAGUUGAGUAAUGUUCCAUGGAAUUCUCUGUCAAGAAGAUCAAAUUCCUGAAAUGGCCUCAGCAAGAAUACAAGAUGGAGGAAACUUUGAACUGUCUUGCCCAGUCACACAGCCUCUCCUAACUGAACCAAGCUGCUGAUGUGACUCUCCACAGGUACGGAUCCUUUGUUCCUGCUGGCUUCUGCCACCCACCAUAUUCAACUCCGCACUUUAGUGUCCAUCUCUUCAGCUGCUCCUCCCCUUCACCUCUCUGGUCUAUUCAGGUGUUACCUUGGAGUUUUUGGCUCUCUGUCUCCUUGGGCUCCUGAAGCCUACUACUGCUACAAAAGUCAUGCCAGUGAGUCAUGUGUCAUCCUACUGGACACCCACCGGUAGUGGGAAGGGAAGCCUCUCCUUUGUAAUUUGGGACAUUUCACUCUGACAAGUCUCCUGGUCCACUUGGUUUGGGGACACCCUGUAUUGAAAUCCCCCCCCCCCAGCUGAGGACCGAACCCAGGGCCUUGUGCUUGCUAGGCAAGCGCUCUACCACUGAGCUAAAUCCCCAUCCCCUGAAUUGAAAUUCUUGCCACAGGACACUUACUCCUUUCUCUCCCUCCCCACCUACCACCCCCUUUCCUAAAGUCUCUCCCAUCUUCUCCUCCCUUUGCUCCUGGCUCCCUCCCCACCUGUCUCUCGGCUCUCAUGGAGCUUGCUCUGUCCCUCCUGCUUGCCUGCUGGAGCCUGAGCUCCAUAGGCUCUUAAUCUCUUUCCCUCCUUGGACUGCGAUUUUUUGAAAGCUUCACUGUCUUACUGCAGAUGGCUUGGCCUCAGUAAUAGGUUUUCUGUACCCCGAUAAUAGGUUUCUCCACUGAUGCAGUAAGCCAGAUCAAGCCGAAUUGAAAAAGUAUGACAACAGGUUUAUUUGAGCAAAGCAACUCCCGGGUGGGCUCUUCAGUCCCAGAGAUUGAGGCUGGAGAAGUCACGUGCCUGAACUAAAGCAGAGAGAUUAUGUAGCUCGUAGGCGCGGACUUGGGCCGCUGGCAACUUCCGGGGAGGAGCUCAGAACUGGGCUCUUUGGUGCCUUCCCUUCCUGUGUAAACACUGCAGCUCGGAUGGGAAGGUAUCCUGGCAGCUGGAAGCCAAGGAAUACCACAGAGUCACACAACAAACCUUACCCAAGAGACUUAUUGGGAGGGAAAAACCCAGGAGGGUGGCUGCCUCUGCUCAAGCAAGAAAUAGCAGCAAAUUGAACAGGAUAGAGAGCGUAUAGAGAGUUUCUUUGGUAAGAGGAUGGAACUUGCCAGGGUGGAGAUUGGUGGGAUUUUUUUUUUGUCCAGAGAUUGAGCUUUUUAUUCUGUAGGAUGGGGGCAGGGUCCAGCAGUUAGGGCAGUUAGAGUAUUCUGUGGGUGGAACCUGGCAGCUAGAGGUCCACUGGAGGGGUGGGGGGUGGGAGGGCCUGGCCAGCCACAUGACCCAAGGGGCUUAUACUCUGAGUGGGGUUUGGAGAGACAGGAACGGGCUUCUCAGACCAUGCAGGAGCUGCAAGAAGCAAGCUGGAGUUUCCAACCAAACACUCAGUACAGGUCAAUGGUCAAAGGUGGCACACUUGAUUUCCAAACUCUUUUUUUUUUUUUUUUGGUUUUUUCGAGACAGGGUUUCUCUGUGUAGCUUUGCGCCUUUCCUGGAACUCGCUUUGGAGACCAGGCUGGCCUCGAACUCACAAAGAUCCGCCUGCCUCUGCCUCCCGAGUGCUGGGAUUAAAGGCGUGCGCCACCACCGCCCGGCGAUUUCCAAACUCUUUUAACAACUUCUGCCACUGCACAAGCAAAUGAUCCCAACACAACAUCUCUUAUCUCUAAACUUUCUGUGAUCUCCACUCACAAAAUUUUCUUUCUCUUUCUCCCCCCCCCCCCACCUUUUUUUUUGAAGACAGGGUCUCUCUACAUAGUUCGGACUGUCCUGAAACUCACUAUGUAGAUCAGGCUGACCUCGAAUUCAUGGAGAUCCACCUGUAUCUGUCCCCCAGAGUGCUAGAAUUAAAGGCAUGUGCCACCAUGCCUAGCCAGAAAAUGUCUUAUCUUUAAGCCUUCUUUACUCUCUUUCAGACAUAUUCAAGGGAGCACCAUAAAGAAACUGACAACAUUGUGGGCAGUGGUGGUGCAGGUCUUUAAUCCCAGCACUCGGGAGGCAGAGGCAGGUGGAUCUCUGAGUUUGAGGCCAGCCUGGUCUACAGAGCGAGUUCCAGGACAGAAAGGGCUACACCGAGAAAACUGGUCUCAAAAAAACAAACUAAAAGGAAAUUGGGGACAUGACGCUUCAUGAUAUGGGUAAGGAUUUUUAUUGUAGAUAUAACAGGCAUCUGGAAGAGCCCAGAGCAGAGGGAGAAAGAAGUGGACCGAACAUGGCCAGCAGACUGGACAUGGCCAGGACCAGGGAAGUGAGAGAAUGGGAGAGGACAGUGGAGACAGUGGGACUGCAAGAGACAGGGAACAGGGAAGGUGGCAGCAGGGAGUGGAAGGAAUAGCUAGAGAGAGAGAAUAGUGGGGGGGGGGAACCCUGCCAUUAUAAAGAGAACAAACAGGCAUCUGGGAGGAGGGGACCCGGGGAGGUGAGAAGGGCUGGGAUGCUGUCCUGCACUUUGAAGUGUCUCACAGGCGCUUGUGAUGCUGAGGGAGCCUGGAGGCCCCCAGCGUGUGCUGUGAUAUGCAACCACAGGGAGGCAGUUGUCCUUCUUCCCAAGGUCAGGGGGAUGACUCCUUUUGGCAGAUGGGGACUGGUUUCACAAGUUCCUGAGGAAUCGAACCCCAGGAAUCCAAUAGUCCAGCUUGAGCUCAUUUCUAGAUAUAUGAACUACCUGUGAGACCUAACACCUGGUAGAUGCAGCAACCAGUCAAACUGCCUAAAGAAACAAAGAACAGCUGAGCCCCUGGAAAGGACACCCUCCAACCUGUUAAGAUGCCUGAUGGCUGUUCAAUGUAUAAGUGUUGCAGCUUGGGUGGGAAGUUAUCCUGGCAGUCGGGAGUCAAGGAGUGCCACAAAGUCACUGAACACUUAGCAGCUUACAGCCCUGCUCCAGGGAAAGGUUUCCCCAAUGUAAGUGCAGCAAUUCUGCUCAGACAGGGGAGAGCUUCCCCAGCAAAGUCGUUAUAGCUCUGCUGAGCUCUGCUCCAGAGAAGUGUUACAGCUCCGCUUAGAUCCUCCAGAGUGCAACAACUCCGCUCUGCUAGGGGAAAGUUUCCCCAGCGAAAAUGUUACAGUUUUGCUCCACUGUGCUCCAGCUCCAGGGAAAUUUGUUACAGCUGCCCCUGGAUCCCCCCCUUGGAUGUCACACCACACAACAAACCUCACUCAGGAGAUUUAAUGGGAAGGAAGAAGCCAGGAGGACAGUUGCCUCUAGGGUGAGAAGCAGCAGCAAACUGAACAAGGUCCAGAGCCUAUAUAGGGUUUCUUGGGGAUGAGCGGAGUGUUCCAAGGUUGCCUUGGGAUUGGUGGAUUUUUGUGGCCUGAUUCUGGGGCAAACUCAGAGACUGAUGGGAUUUUGAGGUCAGGGGCCUCAGGGAUUGGUGGGAUCCUGUGCUCAGGGAUUGGUGAGAUUCUGCAGCCUGACUUGGGGACAAACUCAGGGACUGGUGAGAUUUCCAGCCUUUGUCCUGUGGUCAAGUCAGGGUGUUUUUCCUUUGUCCAGGUCUUGGGUUUAGUUAGGGGCAGGGCAUUUUUUUUCCCUUGGCCCUUUUAACCUAGCCGGUGUGCUCCAGAUUUCUAACCUUUGUGAGCUCGCAUCCAUGCUGGAGUGGGCUUUGGUGAUGCAGGCAUCUUUGAAUCAUUUUUGUUCCUCUAAGUAACCCUUCACUGAUGUUCCUCUAAGUGAUGCCAAUAAAACUCUUUGGUUCACCAAAUUGCACUUUGGUGGUACCCAUACUUUGGUCUGUCAUUGGUUCUUUAUCUGGGGUGAGAAAAUUUGUAAUUUGUUCAUGUUACCCUGGGAAUAGUGUCACACAACACACCUGAUGUUGACCUCAGGCCUUCACAUUGACACAUACCCACACACAAAUAAUUCAAAAGAGAUUGACAUAGAAUAAGCUGCCCCUCAUAUUGACAUAUUAACUGCUGUUGUGGAAUAUUAUUUAAGGUGUGUUAUAUUUUUUUAUGCUAUGGAACAUUUGUUUGAUGAUUCAAAGAUGUAUUGCAUUCUUUUAUGUUGGAUUUGUUUAAGUCUGUGAAGCUGUGUUACUUUGCCUGUCUAAAACACCUGAUGGUCUAAUAAAGACCUGAAUGGUCAACAGCAAGGCAAGAGAAAAGAUAGGCGGGGCUGGCAGGCAGAGAGAAUAAAUAGGAGAAAUCUGGGAGGAGAGGAAGAAAGAGCAAGAGAACAUGGAGAGGACUUCAGGGGCCAGCCACCAGGCUACACAAUCAGCAAUGGAGUAAGAAAGAAAGAUAUACAGAAAUAGAAAAAGGUAAAAGCCCAUAGGCAAAAGGUAGAUGGGAUAAGUUAAAGUUAAGAAAAGCUGGCAAGAAACAAGCCAAGCUACAACCAGGUAGUUAUAAUUAAGAGUAAGCCCCCCUGUGUAGCUUAUUUGAGAGCUGGGUGAUGGGCCCCACAAGAGCCAAAAGAACAAAUCAGUCAACUACAACCCCCCCCACUCCAGACCUCAACUGUAGAUUAGUGUGCAUUCUGACUUUAAGGAAAACCUUACCAUGCUGCUUUUUCAUCCUGUGAAUUGGUAUAAGAACCUUCAUUUCUCUUCUACUGGGGCGAAGUGUUAGAAAUAGAUCUGGUGUGGUGGUUUGGAUAACAAUGGCUCCCAUAGGCUCAUAUAUUGGAAUGCUUGGUCAUUAGGGAGUGAUGCUACUUUAUAGGGAUUAGGAGGGGUGGCCUUAUUACAGUAGGUAUGGCUUUGUUGGAAGAAGUGUGUUACUGGGGGCGGGGGUGGGCGCUGGGGUUUCAAAUGCUCAAGCCAGACCCAGUCUCUCUCUUUUCCUGCUGCCUGUGGAUCUGAAUGUAGAACUCUCAGCUACCAUGUCUGCCUGCAUGCCACCAUGCUCUCCUCAAUGAGGAUAAUGGACUAAACCUCUGAAACUGUAAGCAAGCCCCAAUCAAAUGCCUUCCUUUAUUAAGAGUUGCCAUCAUCAUGGUAUCUCUUCAGAGCAAUAGAACACUAACUAAGACAUCUGGGAUCUCAAUAUCCAAAAAUCCUUCAGCAAAAUGUUUUACAACAGCCUAGGUCUGGAGAGAUGGCUCAGUGGUUAAGAGCACUGACUGCUCUUCCAGAGCACCUAGGUUCAAUUCCCAGCACCCACAUGGCAGCUAACAACAGUGCAUAGCCAUGCAUAACCAAGCAAGUAAGCAAGCUUGCAUUUAUUUUACCCCAGUGCAUAGGGGUACCACUCCUUACUGUGAGUGGCCACAGUACGACCUCACUUUUGUUGUUUAAAUAAGGACAUAAUUAUUAUUAUUUUUUUUUUUACUUUUGUGAAUGUGUGUUUUUCCUGCUUCUGUGUCUGCACUACAUGUGUGCCUGGUGAAGGGACACAUGCCCACUCGAGCAUAUGGCUCUGGCAGGUCUUGCCCUUCUCCCCAUUCCCUCUGCCUUGCUAUAAAAAAAAAACCCACUAGAUUACAUAGGGGUUGGGGAUUUAGCUCAGUGGUAGAGCGCUUGCCUGGCAAGUGCAAGGCCCUGGGUUCAGUCCUCAGCUCUGAAAAAAACAAACAAACAAAAAACCCACUAGAUUACAUUCCUAAAGCUAGCCACCAAAGUUUAUUCCUUUUUGGCCACUUCCUCUUCCUGAGGCUGACUACUGAGGUCCAGCUAUCAAAAUAUUGAAAUCCAUCAAUCAAAAGCCCUCUUUUAUUGCCCCAAUUAACAUGUUCAAUUUAAACACAUCAUCCUAACACGGGGUUCCCCUUGUACCUUUAUAAACUGCCAUUUGCCUAUGUGCCACGUCUGUCUCUCCUCUGUCCACAGGCAGUCUUGUCCCUCUGGGACAAAUACUCCCUCCCCUGUCCCCUUCCUCUACCCCGUCCUCUAUCUCCUUUAGCGCCUCAUCCUAGCCCAUUCUAAGACAGACCUCCCCUUUUCCUCCUCUUAAAAAUUACACCUGCGAGGCCAGAAAACCUUUUCUUCCCCACUUAAUAAAGGAUCUCUCUAUGAAAACAGG